GAUCUGAGCGGAACCUGUGUACAUCCAUGGUUGCAGUGAAGGGGCACAGCAUUUGGGAGGGCCUCUGCACAUGGUCUGCCCUGCCUAUGCACCCUACACAUCAGUCCUACACUAGAGCUUCAAGUGCUUGGUUCUCAGGCUCAAAGAUGAAGAGAGUAGUAACAACUUUUCUGGAAGGUAGGACACUUAUUUCUUAUGGCAGGUCUUCCAGGGGUCCCGCAGUGUCUGAGGUCCUAUCCUCUGAGGAGCAAUAUAGUACAGCAAUUGGGAACUUGUGGCUCUAAAACUCUGUCUAGAGGAAUCCCAACGAUCUCCUAUUUCCAUUAGAUGUAUUACAAAGAAUGGAAGAAAAUAAGAAGGUGUGUUUAACCCUGCUAAUGAGACAUGCAAGCAAAUGGUUAGCUUUGAACAGUGUUGGAGGAGCAAAUAUUGAAGAGGGAUAUUAAAUUAUGGAUUUGGAGAAAAUAAUCCUAUUUUAAUUUCAGCUGUAAUUUGAUUGUCUGCUCUCAAUUUUCUGCUUGGUUGCAAAGGGCCCUGUUUGAACAAAGAGCAAUUAAAUAGUACAAAUGAGGAGGUGAAUAAUAGUUGGAAACACUUGUUAAUUAGCAGAGGGAUGCUGAUUAGUGUGCAACUGUGAGCAUGAAACCUUUUAUCGAAUUUGUUGAAGAGCAGAUUGCUCAUAUAAAUAAGGCAUAAAGUUAAGUCAUAUUCAAAUUCCUUAGCUUUACUUGCUCUUGACAGGACACUUCUGAAAAUCUUCUACUUUUGCACACCAUUGAUUUCCCAAUUGCAUGCGUGAAAUGCACUGUUAGAAAAUCCAUCUGAAAAAAGGGCUUGUGCAAAUUACAGUAAUAAUUAACUAUCUACUUUACCUAGUUUUAGGUUAACCUAUACCCAUGGAGUCCCAGAUCAGUGGUGAAGUAAUCCUGGAAAUCUCCUCCUUUUAAUUUAGACCUUCUUCUUGGCUAUUGAUCACUUUAUAACUCAUGGAAUAAGUCAAAGGAACACGUGGCAAAUAAUAAUAAAAGUCUAUCAACUUGAGUCACAAAUUUAUUGGAAAACUUAGCCAUUGCCAUUGUGUAUAUAACAGUAGUUAGUUCUUCAUGGAUGUGGGCCUUUCAUUGGAGUUAUAUUACCUUUCUGGGAUGUUACUGUUGGGGACACUGGGGCAUGGCCACUAGGUAACUCAAGGGGAUGGAAGACCAUGAGUGUCGAUGAAGCCCCCUCGCACUAGGCCCCGGUGUCCUUGGCCCCCCCUCCCACCUGGAGGCACUCGCAGCAGCUCUGCGUACUAGGCCCGAGUGUCCUUGGGCCCCCCCGCCUGGAGGCGCACACAGCAGUUAUGCUGAGAAUGUGCAACAAUAUGCUGCAGAGUCAGACUGCCUGAAACUAAGCAAGGCCACGCAGGGCAGAUAUGGAAGAACAAUGCUGAAUAAAGCAGCUUUAUGUAUAGUUUAACAAAUGAUACAGAGAACCAAGGAACUAGCUGGGAACUGGAUUGGCUGGCUAUAUGGAUACUUGGGGCAGCUUGCUAUUGGAUAAGUAUGCUGGGAAAAAGGAUGUAUAAAAGCCUGUGUAACUUCUUGCUCUGUGUACAGGAUUUGAGAUUCAAAUCUCCCUGUACCUAUUUGAAGCUUCAAAUAAACUUUUCUGCUUCUCCACCCCGUUGUGAUUAUUGGGUGUAGCACACCAGGUAACGAACCACUCCAGCUAUUGUUCAGCCUCUUGGCACUGGGUGCCGGCAACAGCUUUUGGUGUCCCUGGGUGGGCCGGAGGCUGCAAUUUAGCCUUGCCCGGACCCCUCCUGGAGGUCAAGGAUUGCGGCGAGAACCAACGCCCAGUGCGCACCGGUGAGUUCACCGGUGCCUCAGUGGAGACAUGAUUUGAUCGACCCCGGAAGGCACAACGGUGCAACGCAGUCAUAUAGUGGAGAAGCAGUUGUGGACUAUGACGGUGAAGAACUGGUCCCUUAGAUAAGGUAUACCAAGGAUUCCCAGCCUCUCCCCUUGGACACUCCCAUCCACUCCUUACAGCCCGGUGACUCUGUGCUUGUUAGCACCUGGAAAGACGAGCCUCUCCAGGAGAAGUGGAAAGGACCCUAUGCCGUCCUGCUGAUCUCCCAUACAGCGGCAAAGAUCGAGGGACACAAGAACUGGAUCCAUCACUCUUGUCUGAAGGCAGUACCCGCCCCCUCGUCAGCAGAACAGUGGACCGUCCAACCUGCUGACUCCUCAUCUAAUGACGAUCUCGGGCUAAAGCUACUGUUUAAAAGACACAAAUAGCAGGCACCUUAAUGCUAAAAUGGACCCACCCAGGUACUGGAGACCCUGGGUUGGGAAGACUCUGGUGAUAAUUAAUUGGGUAACAUUGUUAUUCUCUGUAUUGGUAUUUCCAAACUGUGCAUAUCGGGAGCAUAACUCCUUUGUUUCGCUUGCGCACCAUGUUGCUACUUUAACAAACCAGACUGAUUGCUGGGUAUGUGCUCCAACUCCACUGUCCCCCAAAACGGGAAUGCCCCUUGACAUGCUGCCCUUGACCCUAGCAGAAUUAGCCACCACCAAAGAGCAGGAAAGAACGGACUCGCCGUUCUGGAAUAAGACCUCUUUACAGCAGGCCACCUAUCAGGCCCAGGAGUAUUCAGUUGCAGUACUCACUGAGGGAGAGUUUUUAUGUUUUACCUGAAACCAAUCUGAUCACUAUGGGUGUCCAGUGGGGAAAAAGCUCCUGUGUUAUUACACAGUGGGCUGAUGGGUAUUGGAUAAAGACCAACAGGGGAGGCCAACAGUGUGGGUGUAAUGGUUCCUCCCCUUUUAGGGAAACUCUUACAAAUAAUCUUACCACAAAAGAGGGGUUUGGAAAUGUAACUUGCCGUCCAGUUAACAUCUCCAAUGUAGCAAGCCAGUGGUGGGUUUGUAGUGGUCCCUAUGGCGAGUGUAAUUUGAACGGCACAAUUAGAAACGCCCCCAUUUGUACCCAGUUAGGAGGAUGGGAUGCCCCCCUAGGGGCAUAUGAACUGUUUGGAAAAGCAGCCUUAAAUAUCCCAGGAAUCCCCUUAAGAAACAGUCCUUACUGGGCCCUACAGGGUCACUAUUUUGUAUGUGGCUGAAAGGCUUACAAGGUGCUGCCAGCGAACUGGACAGAUAGCUGUUAUAUAGCUCGUGGAUUUCCUCAUCUGUCAAUAACUGCCACACUGCCCAAAGGAAAGAUUAGAAAUGCCCGAGACACCUCUGAGUCACGAGAAAAGACCCUGCGGUGACUGACUACGGCAUUGGAGGGCAAUAUGAAGAAUCCCCUCACAACCGAGAAGCUUGUAGGGUGCUCUGUACUGGGAAUAGCGCCACUGGUUUCUGGGCCAGCCAUGGCAUGCAUAGGCCGCUAUACUAUAAGGCUGCAGAUGGUACUUGAGAAGGUGGCCUUAGAGUUAGAGGACUCGGUUAGUGAUUUAGGGUCAGCAGUAAAAACAUUAAAUAAAGAGGUACAGCAGCUCAGGACGUUUUCCCUCCAAAACAGGCUGGCUUUGGACUAUCUCUUGGCAUCCCAAGGAGGGGUUUGUGCCCUCGUCGGGCACCGAUGUUGUGUAUAUGUAAAUGAUAGCAGUUAUGAGAUCUAUGAAAAGGUGGUACAGGCUGAGGCCCAUGCCCGAGCCGGAGCACAGGUUGCCUAUACUGCCCCAGAGAAUGAUUGGUUGCAAACCUUGUUUUCAGGCUGGGGUUUGUUGUCUUGGCUUGGUGGUUUAUUUAGCCUGCUAUUGAAAAUUCUCUUUCCUGUAUUGCUUGUAUUACUGGUAUUAUGCUGUGCAGUCUCAUGUGUCAGAGCCCUUUUGCAAAAGUUAAUAAGUCAUUCUCUUCAGGGCUAUCACAAAGUGUUUAUGCAAAGUCCUAUUGUAAAGAAAUAAGUAGCCCAAGUGAGAAAACUCAGAGCCAAGGUUGUUGAGUGUUCUCAAAGGGGGGAGUUGUUGGGGACACUGGGGCAUGGCCACUAGGUAACUCAAGGGGAUGGAAGACCACAAGUGUCGAUGAAGCCCCCUCGCACUAGGCCCAGGUGUCCUUGGCCCCCCCUCCCGCCUGGAGGCACUCACAGCAGUUAUGCUGAGAAUGUGCAACAAUAUGCUGCAGAGUCAGACUGCCUGAAACUAAGCAAGGCCACACAGGGCAGAUAUGGAAGAACAAUGCUGAAUAAAGCAGCUUUAUGUAUAGUUUAACAAAUGAUACAGAGAACCAGGGAACUAGCUGGGAACUGGAUUGGCUGGCUAUAUGGAUACUUGGGGCAGCUUGCUAUUGGAUAAGUAUGCUGGGGAAAAGGAUGUAUAAAAGCCUGUGUAACUUCCUGCUCUGUGUACAGGAUUUGAGAUUCAAAUCUCCCUGUACCUGUUUGAAGCUUCAAAUAAACUUUUCUGCUUCUCCA